rnacentral:lncRNA from 1 species
CCGAGUCGCUGAAGCCGCUGCUGUCGCUGACACUGGCGCUGCUGCGCCGCUUCAUGCGCUCCAGGUGCUCCUCGUAGUGGAAGUGGCGCUCGUGGAAGGGCGACGCGAAGUCGGCCAGCACCGCGUCAAACUCGCACAGCGCGUCCGACAGGUCCUCCGCGGCUCAGCUGGGCCCGGCGCGCGUGGCCUUGGGUCCUGCGAGGUGGCAGCCGGGGCUAUUCGGGGGCUUGCUGUCCCGCACACUUCAGCCCUGCCAGUCCCUUCGGCGCUGCGCUCCAGCCGCGCCGCUCCCAGCACGGUCCGCGCCCGCCCUACC